rnacentral:rRNA from 1 species
UACAGAGACUGCGAGCGCUAUUCGGAUUCACUGGGCGUAAAGGGUGCGCAGGCGGCCGAGUGUGUGAGGCGUGAAAGCCCGGGGCUUAACCCCGGAAUUGCACCUCAAACUACACGGCUAGAGCAUUGGAGAGGGUAGCAGAAUUCAUGGUGUAGCAGUGAAAUGCGUAGAUAUCAUGAGGAAUACCAGAGGCGAAGGCGGCUACCUGGACAAUUGCUGACGCUCAGGCACGAAAGCGUGGGGAGCAAAAGGG